rnacentral:pre_miRNA from 1 species
UUUAAACGCAGUCAUAAGUUUAGUCGUUCAUCUUAUUUAAAAUUUUUCGUGAUUAGUAUUUCUAUUGUUAUUAGAUAGUAAAACUGAUUUAUAUUUUUUAUAUUUUUUAAAAAAAAUUUAAAAAAAAGAACGAUUAAAAUUAGGUAUGGAAACUUAUGAUUGCGCUUAAA